rnacentral:lncRNA from 1 species
AAAAAACGUCAUAUUUUGCUGCAUGUUUAUCAAAAUUAAAAAAAUCCUCUAUUUACAGUUUUAUAAAAUUUGGGUCACAUAAUCUCCCUGCAAAAUGAAACAAAUUGCCGUUUUGAAAAAUAGGGGUCCAUGAACUCGUUUUCAAAUUAAAUCAGUUUGAAUGAUAAAAAUCAGUCGAAAAAUGCAUCUUUUCCCGAUAUGUCACAGUUUGACGUCGCGAAAAUAACAUUUUACGUUAGCAACGUCAUUACCUCCCCUGUAACUGUAUCGUAUGCCCUUAAAUUCUGUGUAACGCUGCUGGGUCCGCCCACAAUAGGUCGAAAUUUUAAAUCAUUUGGUGUUAAAAGUUCGAUGUAUUCACUGUUUUGUUCUGAUAUCGCAUUUGAAAUUUCCUUACUUUUGUGAAUUUUUGGUAAACCAUAGAAAUAGCUUUCUGAAAAUUUAGAAUUUGAAAUGUAAUCUAUCUCUUCUUCAAACAAUUCCGUUUUAUGUUUCUUUAGUAAUUUUUUAAUCAUUGUACUUGUUUG